rnacentral:misc_RNA from 1 species
GCUCCGGUGCACAUUGAAGACUAAAUUCAACAUGAUGCCAUUUCUAAACAGGCAGAUCCUAAACACACUGAGCAGAAUUUCGCGGAUGGUCCUUGCUGCGAUCACACUGAAGAACACCGUGCGGGCCUUGAGACUCCCUACGGAGAUGCCUCGGCUCCGGUGCACACUGAAGAGCAAGCCCAACAUGGUGUUUUUUCUGAUCAGGCGGACUGUAAUUCUAAUGGGCAGCAGGUUCUUACUAGAGAUUUGUGCUUUGUUCCAAGUGUCAUACACCAUGCGGGCCUUGAGGCUCCCUUCAGAGAUGCCUCGGCUCCGGUGCACAUUGAGGAACAUUUCCAUCAAGUUUUUCCAAGUCAGUCCUCUGCACCAUCAUAAGAAGGCUCAUAGAAGCA